rnacentral:rRNA from 1 species
GUAGGUGRACCUGCGGAAGGRUCAUUAACGAUUGCUGUACAUGCAAAAAAAAAAGACGAUGAACMCUGGUUUUCACAUAAAACUCCUGACGAGUUCAGGAAGGAUCACGCCUGCUGGCCAUCGUGGUCGUUGUGCGCUCGUCAGCGAGCGCCGCGAACGAUGUAAAACAAACAACCUGUGGCCUCUCAUACAGUACGAUAUCUCUCGCCAUGGUAUACAGGCCUGGCAUCUGGUACGAGUCUCACACGACUCAAAACCAACCUUACAACUCUGAGCGGUGGAUCACUUGGCUUGUGGAUGCUAUGAAGACCAUAGCUAAGUGUGAGAAUGGCAGCGAGCCGUCGCUAUAUGCGCUGUCCUCUUCUUAUCACAUGUCGAAUGCACAUUGCGCCCCACCCAGCGGUCGGCUAACCUCCUGCAGACAAAAGCCUGCUAGUUGGAACAAAGGCAAGUGUGUGGCCCUCGAGCAACGGCGGGGGAGCCAGGAGCACAUGAGCGUGCGGACCAACUGCUCGUUAGUAGUCAGGCUGACCCUAUGGUGGGGCACUCCUAGUCGAGUGUGGUGGAUCGGGCUCACCACACACACACACGCAUAUCUGCUGGCGCGAUAGUUACGUGCUCUGGAUUGUUUGUGUGUGUGCGUGUGAGUUUCUUUGUUGCUGGUGGCAUUUGGGUCGACAUCAGUCGUGCCCGCAAACAACUGCCUUGGCUCGUGCCUCUGUGCGUGAACCACCUACAUAUCCCCGGCGGUGGUGCGCGCAUAUUGAAGGCCAUAGCUGGCGAUCACUCUUGCGGCCAGGGCACUAAGACAAUUGCCAACUUUGUUGUGGCAGUAGUGCGCACGGGUCCAAAAGGAUUUUGAAUCACACGGGAGUCGAGUCUCUGGUACUCUAGGUGGCCAGCCUCUUACGGCCAGUGCGGGGUGGUGCUUCUUUCCGUUGAGGACCCAAAAAAAAGGCGCGUGCGUACGCACGCGCUUAUCUCUCUGGUAAAGGUUCGUCUCUCGUAGUAUUCGAGAAUGACAACCGCUUCACCUUUUUCACACUCGCCGGGUUGAUGAAUAAACGCCUGACGAGAUCAGGAUGGAUUUUCUAUGAGAGUGUGAAAAAAAAGAAGCAGAAAGGAUUAGACAGUAUGAUGCACCGACCGUACCACCCCGCUUUCUAUCGCUGCGCAGGCUCCAUAACGGAGGGAGACUCGGCUUUGCUAGUGUGACUCUGUAAAUGCCACCACCUCGACUUAGGAGAGGUUACCCGCUGAACUUAAGCAUAUCAGUAAGCGGAGGAAAAGAAACCAAUCAGGGAUUCCCUUAGUAGGGGCGACCGAACAGGGAUGAGCCCAGCGCAGAACCUCCCGGGCCACCCGGCCUGCGGCGGAAUGUUGCGUUAAGGGAAAGGUCGUAGUCAAACCCCACAGCCACGCGAGCUCUAAGUAAGUCACGAAUUGGCUAUCCCAACUAACGGCGGGAAAAUCUCCACGGAGGGUGUAAGACCCGUGUGGGCGCGUGCAAAUGCUGUGUGGGCUCGGCCUCUUUUCCCUGAGAGUCGCGUUGCUUGAGCAUGCAGCGCUAAGCAGGUCGUAAACUCGAUCUAAGGCUAAAUAUGUCCACAAGACCGAUAGCGAACAAGUACCGUGAGGGAAAGUUGAAAAGCACUCUGAAGAGAGAGUCAAAAGACCGUGAAACCGCUCAGAG